CCGGAAGCACGGUACGGGCUGUGCACCGUCCUGUCACCCUUGGAGACGUGAGUGCUGACCUCGGCGGCGAAGGAGUGGGUUUUUAAUCUGCUCUCCUUCGCCGCCGUGGGGCAAGAUGAACUCUUCAGAACUAGUUAACGUCUUUGAAGCGGACAUUCAGCACCGGACCAGAGAGACUGAAAACAUUUCUAAGAUGUGCUUGCAAAAGUUGAUUUUAUCAUAGAAGAGGAGAUGCAGUUAUUCUUAAGCAAACCUUGGAAUGGUAAAUUUCUGUUCCUCUCCUGAACUUCCAAAACCCAACAUCUACUGCCCUUACAGAGAAGUAGAAAAUGUUGAAGGCAGGUUGACCUUUUUGUGCUCGUGACCAUUUUAAAAGUGAUAUUAUCAAUUGACUGGGAAUAUUUGCUCAGCUACGAAGGGUCUGUUUCCGUGCUUUACAUCUCUGACUCUACUGAUUUUCACAAAUUAUACAGGUCAAUGGAGAAAGGAACUGUCACAAACUGAUGUCGUAAAAGCUGAAUCUUUGAUUUUUUUUGUAGCA